AUCUUUUUCCAGUUCAUAAGCGUGAUGAUUGGGUUCUCACACACUUGCAUGACACAUGCCUCCCUCUAAACCUUGUUACCAUGUAGGCACAUUACCAGUCUGACG